rnacentral:rRNA from 1 species
AUUGAACGCUGGCGGCAGGCCUAACACAUGCAAGUCGAACGGCAGCACAGAAGAGCUUGCUCUUUGGGUGGCGAGUGGCGGACGGGUGAGGAAUGUCUGGGAAACUGCCCGAUGGAGGGGGAUAACUACUGGAAACGGUAGCUAAUACCGCAUAACGUCGCAGGACCAAAGUGGGGGACCUUCGGGCCUCACACCAUCGGAUGUGCCCAGAUGGGAUUAGCUAGUAGGUGGGGUAAUGGCUCACCUAGGCGACGAUCCCUAGCUGGUCUGAGAGGAUGACCAGCCACACUGGAACUGAGACACGGUCCAGACUCCUACGGGGGGCAGCAGUGGGGAAUAUUGCACAAUGGGCGCAAGCCUGAUGCAGCCAUGCCGCGUGUAUGAAGAAGGCCUUCGGGUUGUAAAGUACUUUCAGCGGGGAGGAAGGCGGUGAGGUUAAUAACCUUGCCGAUUGACGUUACCCGCAGAAGAAGCACCGGCUAACUCCGUGCCAGCAGCCGCCGUAA